rnacentral:lncRNA from 1 species
GCGCUCGUAAAUGAAAUUAAAUGAAGCUCUUUUCUUUGACACUACCAAUUCUAUCAAAUUAUCCCACCUUCAACAAUAAUAAUAAUUAUUUAUAAACGAAGCUAAAAGAAGUUUCAACCCCAGUAUUUGACUGGUACUUAUUUUAUCACCUCCAGAAAGAUGAAAGGCGAAGUCGACUGUAGCAGAAUUUGAACUCGAUACGUAACCUGCCGGCACAAAUACCUAUUUCUUUAUUACCCACAAGGGGCUAAACACAUAGAGGACAAACAAGGACAGACAAACGGAUUAAGUCGAUUAUAUCGACCCCAGUGCUUAACUGGUACUUAUUUUAUCACCUCCAGAAAGAUGAAAGGCGAAGUCGACCUUAGCGGAAUUUGAACUCGGAACGUAACCUACUGGCACAAAUACCUAUUUCUUUACUACCCACAAGGGGCUAAACACACAGAGGACAAACAAGGACAGACAAACGGAUUAAGUCGAUUAUAUCGACCCCAGUGCGUAACUGGUACUUAUUUUAUCACCUCCAGAAAGAUGAAAGGCGAAGGUCGACCUUAGCGGAAUUUGAACUCGGAACGUAACCUGCUGGCACAAAUACCUAUUUCUUUAUUACCCACAAGGGGCUAAACACAUAGAGGACAAACAAGGACAGACAAACGGAUUAAGUCGAUUAUAUCGACCCCAGUGCGUAACUGGUACUUAUUUUAUCACCUCCAGAAAGAUGAAAGGCGAAGUCGACCUUAGCGGGAUUUGAACUCGGAACGUAACCUGCUGGCACAAAUACCACAAAGCAUUUAUGCUUGACGUUCUACUGAUUCUUCCAUAACCCCCCCCCCAUCAAUAAUGUUGGCUUCAAAUUUUGGCUCAAAGCCAGCAAGUUGUGAGGUGGGGUUAAGUCGAUUACAUUAAUCCCAGCGCUCCACUGGUACUUAUUUUAUCGCCCCCAGAAGGAUGGAAGCAAAAUUGACCUCGGUGGAAUUUGAACCCGGGGCGCAAACUGCCAGAAAGCAAUUUUGUCUGGCGUUCUACUGCUUCUUACAUACCCCGCCCCUCGUCAAUGAUAUUGACAUAAUUCUCACGUGAUUAUCAACCUAGCAUUCUCCCCAGUCAUAUUAUUAUCUAUAUAAACAUUUACCAACGUUUUCCAACGAAAGUCCUUCGUAUUAAAAACAUUGGCUCUUAUAAAUGCAGAGAUCGCACUGUUUGCAGGUUACCUGCCGUUUAAAUGUUGUAACUUUCAGUUCAUUUUCACUGGGAACUACCUAGGAAUAAACAUACAGUUCAAAGUUAAACUAUAAAAGGAAGAGAAAUACCUUUGAAACAGAAGCAGUAGUAGCAAUGAAAAUAUACAUUAACCAACGAAGAGGGAGGGUUGUAGACAGUUGUUCAAUCAGCUAGAAGUAGCAGCCAUAUCUUCCUCAAAUUACAGCGAUGACUUAAAAGAGAAAGUAAAAUUGAAUAAAGAAGUGAAACGGGUCGACCCCGGUACUUAUUUUUUAAAAGCUUGAUACUUAUUAUAUCGGUCUGUUUUGCCGAACCGCUAAUUUACAGGGGCAUCAACACGCCAACACCGCUUGUCGAGCAAUGGUGGGGAACAAAAACAGACACAAAUUAUAAUAUAUACGACGGGUUUCUUUCCGUUUUCAUCAACAGAAUCCACUCACAAAGAUUUUGUUGGCCCGAGGCUAUCACAAAGCCUCGGUACGUAAAAAACACGUGCCCGCGGUGCCACGCAGUGGGACUGAACCCGGAACCAUGUGGUUGGGAAGCGAACUUGCUACCACAUGUCUGCGUCUGCACCCUAUGUCUGCGUCUGCACCCUAUAUAUAUAUAUAUAUAUAUAUAUAUAUAUAUAUAUAUAUAUAUAUAUAUAUAUAUAUAUAUAUAUAGAGAGAGAGAGAGAGAGAGAGAGAGAGGGAGAGAGAGACAGACAGACAGAUUUUUGCUCUUUUGUUUUUGUUUUUGUUACGUUUUUUUGUGGUCGACCGAGGUAGCUGAACCAGGUUCAUAGAAGAAAGUAAGGAUACACUGAAAGGGUGCAAUUUAAAAGAAUUUUGCAUCAGGGUUGUUAUGAAAGUAAAUAAAUGGGUUAUAACAUGGCCGAGUUGUACAAACGUUAAAGAUAAAACAACAUUGCGGCGACAGACAGUGUCACAUUCUGACUGAGAAUAUGGAUUCUUUGAACCAUGAUAGAUUAUAAAGGAAGUGGGGAUGGGGGUGGAUAAAGAGAGGACGUCAGACAGUUUCACAUCCAUUAAUUCGUCUUAAUGAAUGAUGUCGUCAGCUUUCGAAUGAGGCAGGUUCAACUUGGGCAGCGAGAAGACAUUUUUGACACCCUCCUUAUGAGUGAUGCGUAGAGCUGCGACGACGUAUUUAUGGGCGUUGUUUGGCUUUUUGGAGAAUUGCAUAUGGGUGGACAUCAAUUAUGCAACUGUAAUAGGUGAUAGAAGACACACACACACACAUGCACGCACAUACACACACACACACACACACACACACACACACACACACACACACACACACACACACAUAUAUAUAUACAUGUAUAUAUAUAUACAUGUAUAUAUAUGUAUAUAUAUGCAUAUAUAUAUACAUGUAUAUAUAUAUGUAUAUAUAUAUGUGUGUGUAUAUAUAUGCAUACAUAUAUAUUACAUAUAUAUAUGCAUAUAUAUAUAUAUAUAUAUAUAUAUAUAUACAUACAUAUACUCUAGUUAAAGCAAACUGGCUAUGGCAGUGCUGGAGAACUGCUAUCUCUCCCGCUCAAUCUCUCUGUUUGUAUCACUCUCUCUCUCUCUUUCUCUCUCUAUCUUUCUCUCUGUCUCUUUCUCAAUCUGUAUAAGUGUGUGUGUGUGUGCUCAUAGCAAAAGAGGGGUAGGAGGAGAUAGAGAGAUAGAGAGAGAGAGGCAGAGAGAUUGAGCGAGAAGGUGAUAGGGAAAUAGGUAAACGGGUAGCGAGGGGUUAUAUGUUAUGUAAAAUGAGGCAUGUAGCCGUGAAUGUUAUGAGCUGAGACCGACCGCAUUAGCUGGGAGUCGGAUUAUUAUAAUCUGUUAUAUUCUGUAACAACUGUUUGGAUUAAUAACAAUUAUCUCUAUACAUCUCCCCUCUUUCCACCAGUUCUACUAUUUAUAAGUUUUCUCACUUCCUAUGUUUUUCAUUCUGUUUAUUUCCUCUUUCACUAUGACACUUCCUCCUCCAUUCCUUUCUCAAUUAAUUAAUUAAUUAAUUAUUCUAUUUGAUUGUUACUUCCUCAUAAGCCAAUUUCCGUAUUCACUUUCGCGUUAACCGUGUCCUAAUGGUCCGCCCUGCAGCACUUUUCCACUCUUAGCACUAUCCGAGCUUCACCUAAAUUAUUAUGUUUUCUGGAGAACAUUUCUCCAGACAAAAACUUGUGGCAUCCUUUCAAAAAAAUGUUUUUAUUCGCCUCAUCAUUAGACUGAAAACAACGUAAAAGAAAUUUUGUCUGAAAAUCGUAUAUAUUUCAAUUGAAACUGGGUUUCAGGAUAGAUUUGUUCUUUAACUAUUUAAAGAAUAUAAGGGCCGCGAGCUGGCAGAAAAGUUAGCACGCCGGGCGAAAUGCGUAGCCGUAUUUCGUCUGCCGUUACGUUCUGAGUUCAAAUUCCGCCCAGGUCGACUUUGCCUUUCAUCCUUUCGGGGUCAAUAAAUUAAUUACCAGUUACGCACUGGGGUCGAUGUAAUCGACUUAAUCCGUUUGUCUGUCCUUGUUUAUGCGCUCUGUGUUUAGCCCCUUGUAGGUAGUAAAGAAAUAGGUAUUUCGUCUAUUUUCGUCUGCCGUUACGUUCUGAGUUCAAAUUCCGCCGAGGUCGACUUUGCCUUUCAUCCUUUCGGGGUCAAUACAUUAAGUACCAGUUAUGCACUGGGGUCGAUAUAAUCGACCUAAUCCGUUUGUCUGUCCUUGUUUGUCCUCUAUGUGUUUAGCCCCUUGUGGGUAGUAAAGAAAUAUAUUUAAAGAAUAGAAAAACAUAUGGUAAUAUCGUAUAGCUAUUGCGGUGUAAAGAACUUUACUGUUUGGUUUUAAAAUGAAUAAUGGAAUCACAAUCAUUAGAAUGCCUUCCUCGAUUGAACCAAAUCAUGAAGCGCUACAAUGAAAUUACAAUCAUCAUCAUCACUAUAAUCAUCCUUAGUGCUAUCAUCACCAUUUUACUCCAUUCUCUUGACUACCCUUGUCCAUUUAUUAUCUAUAUUUGUUGCAAAAGUUGAGUGUGGGCUGUUCUUUUAGAUGUCCCCACUUCUGUAACAACCACUCAAUGAUCUUUGCACUCAAUAGAUGUUCUUCUCUCUUCGAGAGAAGACACCACCACUUAGCGAUUCCCUGAAAAUGGUUUUUACUCAAAACAGCCCUUUUGCUGAAUAUAUCAAAGUAUUGUUUAAACUUCGAAGGCAGCACGACAGUCGUAUUAAAGAUACACAUUCACUUAUUUACAUAAAUAUAAACAUGCAUAAACUCGCACAUACACGUACAAACACAUACACAUUCGCACACAUUCACAAAUACAAAAAGUACCAAUAUAUACAAAUAGCAAGCAAGCACAAAACACACAUGUAUAUAUUCGUCCCUAUAUCACACCUUGUUGGUGUGAUAUAGGGAUAUAUCUAUACAAACACAAUCCCUCAUAUACAUAUGCCUCUGCCUACAUGUGUGUGUGUAAACACAUAAGUAUCCGUUUCUAAACAUCACACACGCACACACACACACAAACACACACACUCACACACAUACACACACCUGUAGAUAGUAUCUGUGCGUGUAUAGAUAGAGAGAUAGAUAGAUAGAUAGAUAGAUAGAUAGAUAGAUAGAUAGAUAGAUAGAUAGAUAGAUAGAUAUGAAGGUGGGUAGGUAAGUAGGUAGGUUGCAGGCAGUUUUAUGGCUCGCAUGACGUUCUUUUGCCAGUUUUCGAGAGGUUUUACGUGGAUCUUUUUCAAAGACGGUCUUUAAUUGACCGUCAUCGAUGACAGAUGGGCGUCCACUACGCUCAACAUCUUCAAGGCUCAGGUCUUCACUGCGAACCAUUUUCGAGUUGACCACUGGCCAUUUCCUCGCCAAAUGUUUCGCUCAUAUAGCGAGCAGCUUCAGCUGCUUUACGUCUUUUUUUGAAGUUGAAUAGCAAAAUUGCUCGAAUAACGCGCUUUGACAGUUCUAUUUCAGAUGGUUGUAACAACAGUAAAAAAUAUCGAUGUUAACUUAUUGAUGCAUUUGGGCAAGUCUCUUUCUGUAUUGUCAGGCAAUUACUGCAAAAAAAAUUUUUUUUUUAAUUCAAAACUUUGGAAAAGUCCGGUACAAAUUCUUCAUGAUUCAAAACGUUGCCUAUUCUUUACUCAACCUGAUUUAUAUAUAUAUAUAUAUAUAUAUAUAUAUAUAUAUAUAUAUAUAUAUAUAUAUAUGUAUAUAUAUAUUUAUCUAUAUAUAUGUAUGUGUAUAUAUAUAUAUAUGGAUAUAUAUAUAUUUAUAUAUAUAUACAUAAUAUGUAUGUAUAUAUAUAUUAUAUAUAUAUAUUUGUGUGUAUAUGUGUAUAUAUGUAUGUAUAUGUAUAUAUAUACAUAUAUACACACACACAUAUAUAUAUAUAUAUACAUACGUACAUAUAUACAUACAUACAUACAUACAUACAUACAUACAUACAUACAUACAUACAUACAUACAAUUAUAUAUAUGUGUGUGUAUUCAUGUAUGUCAUGUAUGUGUGAGUGUGUGUGUAAAAUUUGAUGGCAGACUCAAGAGUCGAAAGUUCCUAAGUGUUUUACUCCAAUAUUCAGGCAUAGUGCAGAUGACCUAUUGUGUCACCUGAGUAUUUUCCCACAAUCUGUUCCUUCGAAUGUUGUGACUAGUACAUACCGAAUGUUUGAGGUGCUGAGUGAGUGCUGACUAAUUGGUGUGUUUUGGGUGCAGAUAUGAAUCAGAAGAGGAGGACAGAUUUAGAAAACCAGUUAACAGGAACAAUUUGACCUGUCACCACUAAUUAUAAUGAUGUAAUCAUUCGGUUCUGUACUAAAUGAUAUAAACAUACCUAUCAAGUAUAUACUCAUGUUUGUAUCAAGUAUGUGUAUGUAUACAUUCUCGCAUGGUAAGCCACGCAUGGUAAGCCAGUCCAUUACACGGAAACAAUUUACACUAUGUACUUCUUACCUCAUUACCUAUUUGAACUUUCAAAUAAUUAGGAUACAGGUGCGACAACUGAUUUUUUUAUAAUGUUAUUUUGACUGUUCGUAUGUUCGUAUUUGAAAUCUGAACGAAGGCUUCCUAAGUUUUAUUGACCCUAUUAAGAUUGCGGAACUAAUCUCCAAGAGUGCAAAUAGUGUUCAGAAUUGCUGAUUGAACAUAACCCAUAUUAUAAUCAUCAGAGUCGUUAGAUACAUGAACGACGAGCUUCCGCACAGUUUCCUCUAUAUCAUAUUCACUCACAAGACAUUGACCUUGCUUGCGUCACAGUUGAUUGUAUAGUUGUCCAUGAACACAACACACAGCCCGAUGUUUUUGAACAAGAUACUUUGUUUCAAGUUACUCAGUUCCCUCAGCUGUAGAAAUGAGUUGCGACAUCACUGGUGCCAAGCUGUAUCGGCCUCUGGCUCUCCCUUAAAUAGCAUCGGUGGCGUCGAGAGGGGAGGUUGAUAUGCAUGGAUGACUGCUGAUCUUCCAUAAAUAACUUUGCCCGGUUUUUUGCCAUGAAGGGGAACUUUCUAAGUUCAAUUCCAUGAUCAUUCAUGACCGAAGAGGGUCUUGUCCUUAGUUGCCCAUGAGAAACCUAAAACUUCCCUGUUAAUAUUAAAGUAUUUAUCGGUUGUAAAUGAAACAAUCAAACAUAACACAACGUACAUUUGAAUAUCAACACAAGUAAUGCCAACCAGAAGAUAUUUGAAUAUGGCGCCUUUAUAACUUUAAUCAGCUUCAUUGGGUAAUGUAUUUAAAUACUUGUGAACAAGAGAACUAGUAGGAUUUCAGAUCUUUCCCUUUUAAAAUAGAAAAUCUGUUGAUGUAUUCCCCUUUCAUUCAAUUACGUUUAUUGUGUUACAUCACAUUUGUAUUUGUACUAACGGUGAAGGACGUUUAGUAAACGAACAUCUUGGACAAGAUUAUCUAAAGCAUACAUACGUACAUACAUACAUACAUACAUACAUACAUACAUACAUACAUACAUACAUACAUACAUACAUACAUACAUAUCUUUUAUUUUUUACUUGUCUCAGUCAUUUCACUGUGGUCAUGCUGGGGCCGAACAAAUCGACCCCACUACUUUUUUUAAAAACAAAAAAAGUCAGGUGCUUAUUGAACUGUUCUUUUUUCCCCAUGGGCUGUGACCUCUAUAAAAAAAACUACUUGAUAUUUGUUAGCUUUGUACACAUGGGGAACUAGCUUGUAGAUUUAGGAAAGCUCUGAAGGAGACCAAACUCAACAUUAAGAUCGUUGAAAAGCCAGGGAGCUCCAUCAGAUCAGUUAUGUUGGUCACACUCCUUCGAGAAUACCAAAUGCACCAAUGACAACUACAUGGUAUGCAAGAUUAACCCUGGCACUAACUGUAGAACUAGAAAUGUAGUCUACAGCAUAAGGUGCAUAGAGGGGACAUGACAUACAUUGGCGACAGAUUUAGAAGCAUUGCGGAGAAAUUAAAUGAGCAUUUGAGACAAUAUGACGACAAAAAACAGUCCUCUAUACUCUACCAACAUGCCAAAGACCACCAACAUGGAGACACACGGGGCCGACUUGACAUCCGCAUUUUAUCCAAUCACCCGAGGGACCCAUCACUCAGACAAUUACAGCAGUACGUCCUCAUAAAUGAAACAUCCCUUGUACUAAAUAGGAAAUACACAUAGAAAUUAGUGAUACCCCGAUACCCACAAUAUAUACAUAUACAGGUAGAUCUAUUAGUAGACUGUUAUGUAUGCGAAUAUAUAUAUAUAUAUAUAUAUAUAUAUAUAUAUAUAAUAUAGGCAAAUGGAUAUGUAGGCAAAUAAAUGGUUAAGUAGAUAGAUAGAUGCAUGGGUAAUUCGGACAGACAAGCACACACGCACAUACAUACACAAAAGGAGACGGAAAUGGAUGUCCAUAUACACACAUGCAUAUUACACACACACACACGUGCGCACACAAACACAUAUACAGAAUACAUACAAAUGUACACACAUGCAUAUAUAUAUAUAUAUACACACAUACAUACACACAUACAUAUAUAUAUAUAUACAUACAUACAUGCACAUACAUACAUACAUACAUACAUACAUACAUACAUACAUACAUACAUACAUACAUACAUACAUACAUGCAUGCAUGCACACUGACGCACGCACAUGCACACGAACAAACAAAUAAAAAGAACACAGCUCUGAUAACGGACCGAGUCAAAAACUAUAGAAGAGGUUGUAAGAAACAACGAAACUUUUAGGAAAAUGAGUGGAAAACGAACCGGUGGGUAUGUUAAGUAAUAAGGUAUUAAAACAGAAUGACUCUCUCCUGAUACAACAAUAUAUAUAUUCCAUCUACGAAAUCCAUUCGCAAUACUUUGGUCGGCCCGAAACUAUCGCAGAAGGCACUUGCCGAAGGUGCCACGCACUAGGACUGAAACCGGAAUCGUGUGUUUACGAAGCAAACUUCUUAUCGCACAACCACGCCUGUGCCUACAUAGACGCUGUCGUGAUUAUUUGUUGUUAUUAUUGUUGUUGGUGAUGAUAUUACGAAUGGCGGCAAUGAUGACUGCUAUUAUAUGAUGAGGCGGAGUGUGAGUUACAAGAAUUGUUAUGAUGGGUUUAUACUGCUGCUGGUGGUGGUGGUGGCGAUGCUGGUUCUUGUGGCGGUGCUGGUGCUGGUGCUGGUGGCAGUUCUGGCAGUAGUGGUUGUGGUGAUGGUGGUGGUGGUGGUGCUAAUUACAGUCCUUCUGGUAGAGGUGUAUUGUGGUGGUGGGAGUGUCGUUCGUGACACUGCUAUGGGGUUUGUGUGAGUGGUUCAAGCAGUAGUGGAAUGUGGUGACGGUGGUGGUGGUAGUGGUGGUGGUGGUGGUGGUGCUUGGCAGUGGUGGCAGCGACGGUGGUUGAGAUUGUGGUAGUGGUUGUAGUGAUAGCUAUGCACAAUAGUUAGUGUGAAAGUGAGGAUGAAGCUGGUGGUGGUGGUGGUGGUUGUGGUGGUGGAGGUGGUGGUAGUGGUGGUGGUGGUAGCGAGAGAGUUAUGAAGGAUGAUAUUGGGUAGUCGUAGGAGUUAUGAUGUGGAAAGUGGUAGUGGGAGGGGAGAAUAAUUCAACCGAAAUAAUUAUCAAUGAUUUUUAUUUUCUUUAUAUUUAAUGUCGAGAAAAGAAUAAUGUGAAGAAUUGUCUACAGAACGUUUAGGGGUGGAUGGAGAAAGGGGAAGAGGAAGAGAGAGAGAGGGGAAGAGGGAGGGAGAGAGAGGAAGGGUGGGUAUGUCAAGUGUUCGGUAAAGGAAAAAAGAAACUCUGCAUGAGUGAGGUGUGAGAAGGGAGGCAGAAGAGGUAACAGAUAAACAGCAGAGUACAGGAAUGAGGGUGUAGAGAAACAGAGAAUAUGAGAGGAGAGGGGUGGUAUACACACUCACACACACACGCACAUACAUACAUACAUACAUACAUACAUACAUACAUACAUACAUACAUACAUACAUACAUACAUACAUAAGGCAGUGUUUGAGGGUAAGGCUCAGAAAGAAAGAGAAAAGGUAUAAGUGAUAGGUAGGUAGAAUUGAGUAAAGUAUAAAGUGUAGAGAAAGAGAUAGAGUGUCAGAUAUAAAGAGAGGACGGGAGAGAGAGAGAGAGAGAGAGAGAGAGAAAGAAACAGAAGAAGAGGGAAAGCGAAGAGAAAUAAUCAAACAAUAUGGGAGAGAGAGAGAGAGAGAGAGAGAGAGGGGGGAGUUAGGAUUGUUUUGUUUUUGGCAUUUUGUUUUUCUGUUUUUGUUUUUGUUUAGUUUUUGUUGUGUGAGGUGACCUUCGAAAUGAGUGUCAGUUGUGUAUUUUUCCCUUUUAAAUGGUUAAGAAACAGUUUUAUGUCAGUGGGAGAGUUUGUCAUUGUAAUGCCUGCAGAGACAAAGUGACAAUGAUUCCAGUCAUGUAAUCUGACUUGGAGCAGCAGCUUCGAGAAGAAACGUAUUAUCAAGUCGCUUUCUAAACAGUGCAAUUCCCUUUGAUGUCUGUGCAAAUCGGAUGUUUUAUUUGUUUAGUGAGUAAUUCAGUUUUGAGGUCGAGUUCAGAUCAAAGGCAACUCACUCACUAGAUGCUUAGUCUGAAUGGCUUGUUCCGUCGACUGAUAUUACGGUGACGGAUGAUAAUACACAAGGAAAAAAUACAUAAAUAAACGAAAUGUCAGUCAAAGUUGAAAUUAUUCUCUGCUUAACCAAUGAUUGUCGUAAAUAAAAGUUUUAUUAUCUUUACUUUAUAAUGAUUAUAUUUUAGUUUCCCUUGUUGUGUUUUGAUAAUAUUUGUUUGUAUGUUUGUUUGUUGGGUUUUUUUUUUGUUAUUGUUAUUGCUGUUGUUGUUUUACAGAAAAAUCUAGUACUGGCGGAUAUUAAAACAUUUUUAAUCACAAAGACUUUAAAGUAUGUUCAAAGAAACCAUUUGUUAAUUUUCACUUGCAAAACUCUCCUCCCGUCCUAAAAACAGUCUUUAUUUAUGAUGAGGGCAGGGAAUGGAAUACUAUUUAGAUGGGAUAUUGUUAAUACACGGUUGGAAGAUAGGUUAUUUUUCCUGUCGUUAAUCGCCAUAUUUGUUUCUCUUUAGAAGCUGUCACGGCUUUUAACGUCAACUAUGGAAUCGUUUCGUUUAACUUGUAGUUAUUAUAUAUCAUUUUAGUUGUGUAUUUCUUUUAAAGACCGCACAGUUUUGCUUCUUUUUUUUUUUCCAUUCCGAUAAAUAUUUUGCAGAUGAUUAUCUAUGUUAUAGACCAAACUAUCUCUUAUUCCAGUUCCAUUUAUAUAUUAUUGAAAUCGGAUUCAAUAAUAUUUUUCAUUGUUUUAAUUUUUGUUUGUCUUUUACUGCAAUGACUGGUUUGUUCCGGCUGUCUCCAGGGGAACGGCAUUAAUUUAAUAACAUAAAACCAUCAAUCAUCUAGAUGGUUUUCCAAUAUUCUAUUUUCGUCGAAGUUAUUGGCAAUAUCACAAGGCUAUUCAGCAAACAAGGACAAUUGGUAAAAUAACAAUUCUAGUGAACCAGGAUUGACCAAAUUCAUCCAACAACGUUGUUGCUAUAAUGCUAAGAUUAUCUUGUAAUAACUGAGAGUUUUUUCCAGUUCCUUUAAAGCAAAUAUUUUAUACAAUGGCAACAAACAGCAGAAUCAUAUUUAUAAUUGAAUAUUUGAUAAGUUACUUUUGUCAAAAAAAAAAAAGAAGGAAAGAAAGAAAAGAAAUCAUAUGAUGCGUAACUAGUCGACCAUGAUGAACGGAAACAACAGACAAACACAACCAUGUGCGUGUGUGUGUGUGUAUACAUAUGCAUACAUAUAUUGCGUGUAUAUCAUAUAUAUAUAUAUAUAUAUAAAUAUAUGUACAUAUAUAUAUCGUAAUUUCUCAUAUAGUGUAACGUGAGUUGGAACAAAUAAUAUAAACUUGUGCUUAUCGUAAUUUCUCAUAUGUGUGUGUGUAUAUACAUAUGUAUGUAUGUAUAUAUGUAAAUGUGUGGGUGUGUAUAUGUACAUAUAUAUAUAUAUCGUAAUCUCUCUUAUAUAUUAUAUAGAUAUAGAUAUAUAUGUGUAUGUGUGCAUGUGCGCGACAUCCAAAGCCUCUAUACUGUUAUCCCUCACCACGAAGGACUGCAGGCCCUUCGACACUUUCUUGACCUCCGCUCUAACCCUGUACCUGACACCUCCACACUCAUUCGUCUGGCCGAACUUGUCCUUACUCUGAACUGCUUCUCGUUCGCGGGCGAGUUCUACCAUCAGGUCUCGGGAGUGGCCAUGGGAACGCGAAUGGGCCCCAACUAUGCGAACCUGUUCGUUGGCUAUGUUGAGGCCCAAAUAUUCUCUAACUUCACUGGUCCCACUCCUGAACUAUAUGGUCGUUACAUUGACGACAUUAUCGGUGCCACCUCACUCUCCCGCGAACAUCUAGAUUCCUUCCUCUCUUUCGUCCAAUCUUUCCAUCCAGCCCUCCACUUCACUUCCACUAUCUCCAACACCUCUGUCUCCUUCCUCGACAUUUCGGUUAGCAUUCUUCACUCCACUCUUACCACCUCCAUUCACUACAAACACACAGACUCACACUCAUACCUCAACUUCUCUUCCUCCCACCCAGAACACACCAAGCUUUCCAUCCCCUAUUCCCAAUUCCUCCGUCUACGUAGGCUCUGUAGUGACGACCAUGACUUUGAGACUCAGUCUCAACGUAUGGCUCACCACUUCACCCUACGUGGAUACCCCCUCACCACUAUCCACACCGCCCUUGCCAGAGCACGGUCCGUGGACCGUGUAUCUGCUCUCUCUCCCCGAACCCGCCCUGUAGUCUCCCGCCUCCCUUUUCCCCUCACUUACCACCCCACGACCCUACGUCUCCAACGCACCAUUCUUCGAGCUUUCCGUCAUCUCCAGUCCGACCCGUCCACUUCACACCUCUUCCCUAACCGACCCCUCCCCUCUUUCAAACGAGCCCACAACCUUCGAGACCUUUUGGUCCAUAGCUCCUUCCCUGACCCUACCUCCCAACCCGGCUCGUUCCCCUGCUCCCGCCCACGUUGCCGCACUUGCCCUUACCUCUCCAACACCACCCGCCUCACUAGCACCCACCAUCGACCCUAUCCCAUCAUCCACUCCUUCACCUGCACCUCCAGCAAUAUUAUCUAUUGCAUCUCUUGCUCUCUCUGCAAUUCCUUGUACAUCGGACAAACGGGACGCCGCUUGGCUGACCGGUUCGCGGAACACCUUCGUGACAUCCACCUUGCGAACGACACACCGGUCUCACGCCAUUUCCGCUCCACCGGUCACUCCUUGCAACACCUAUCUGUGUUCGGUUUGUCCUUACACAGAGGCCAUCCGGAUUCCCGUUUGCGCCGUGAACAGGAAUUAAUCUUCUCUCUUCGCUCUUAUACGCCAUUUGGUCUCAACUCUCCCCCCCCCUCCUCAUCUAACCCCCUCUCCCCCCUCCUCACCUAUCCUUUCCCCCCGACCCCUACUUCUUCAGUCCUUCAUCCUUUCACCCCUACUCCCCUUCCCUUCUUCCCUCUUUCUCCCUCCCUCUUCCCCUUCCCUCUGCUCCCUCACUCCCUCUCUCCCCUUCUCUCUCCCCCUCUCCCUCUUUCCUCCUUCAUCCCCCUCCUCCCCCAUCCUCUCCUCUUCCCCCUCUCCUCCCCCUCUUCUUCUCCCCUCUCCUCCCCCUCCCCCUCUUCUUCUCACUACACCACAUGACUUUACACAUCACAUCACAUAUGAUGUGCCAUACUAGUACACACACCAACUAAUACAUACUAAUACGUACUAAUACAUACUAGUACAUACUAAUACAUACACCAACCCUAUACAUACACACGUCCAGACCCCGCAUACGCACUUAUACUCUCUCAUACACACACACACACACUUAUACAUACCAAUACGUACUAAUACAUACUAAUACAUACUAAUACAUACACCAACCCCAUACAUACGCACGUCCAGACCAAUCCUACGCACUAAUACUCUCUCAUACACACACACACACACACACCCUUAUACAUACUAAUACAUACACCAACCCUAUACAUACACACAUCCAGACCCCUCCUACGCACUAUUAGCUGGUCCCUCAAACCCUUUUAUCAACCCUAUUAUCUCCCCUUAUUUCGCUCUCGCGUCUCAUGUUUGAUCUUUGACCUCUGGCCGAAAUCAGAUCGCCAUGUUGAUUCGUUAGCUACUGCACGCAUUUUUUUCUCUCCUUCUUUCUGUGUUUUUCUCUCUCUGUGUAUCUUUCUGUUGAAGAGCGUAGGCUCGAAACGUUAAAGACUUGUUUUAUUUAUAUUUCCUGAGCGCCAUACUAAUACAAUUGUUCGUUUGUUUUCCACCUGCCUUCGUCUUUUGUUUAUUUUCAUAAAGCUUCCCGUUACAUAUAUAUAUAUAUAUAUAUGAGAAAUUGCGAUAAACUCAUAUUAGUUUAUAUUAGUUGUUCCUAUACAUGUUACAGUGUUCUUUUCUACUCUAGGCACAAAUCUCGAAAUAUGGGGGGAGGGGACCAGUCGAUUAGAUCGACCCCAGUACGCAACUGGUACUUAGUUUUUCGGCCCCGAAAGGAUGAAAGGCAAAGUCGACCUAGGCGGAAUUUGAACUCAGAACUUAAAGACAGACGAAAUAUCGCUCGCGUUUCUUCCAGCUCGCCUCCUUAUAAACUCGUUUCUUUAUCGUAAUUUCUCCUACGUUAGCGCUAUAUAUCAUAACUAGAGAUACUCCUAAUAAUGUGGUUAGUUGCCGAAGCACUGUACUCGAAUUCGAAGCACACUCGUUGAUGAUGUUUUAUGUAGAGCUCUAAACUUAACAGUAGCAAUCGUACAUAUAUUUGUAUACACAGAAUACACUACGCUAGACACACGCACACACGUGCAUGUAUAUACAUAUAUAUAUAUAUAUAUGUAUAUAUGUAUAUAUAUAUAUAUAUAUAUAUAUAUAUAUAUAUAUAUAUAUAUAUAUAUAUAUACAGAGAGAGAGAGAGAGAGAGAGAGAGCGAGCUUACAAAAGAAAGAACAAAAGACGAAGACUGGUGUGUAAGCUAUAGAUGUAUUAGUUUAACGCUCGGGAAGUGAGAAAGUCUUUUACGUUUCGAGCCAACGCUCUUUGACGGAAACCAACACACACACACACACACACACACACACACACACACACACACACACACACACAUAUCCGUCUCGCUAUAUUCCGCUUCAUUUUUGGUGCAGAUGUGGCUAUGUGGUAAGAAGCUAACUUCCCAACCUUGAACAAGUGUUUUCUACUAUGGCCUCGGCCGACCAAUGCUUUGUGAGUGAAUUGGUGGACGGAAACUACAACAAGCCCGUCGUCCAUAUAUCUAUGUGUGUGUGUCUUCGUGGCUGUGUUUGUCUCUCCAUCACCACUUGAUAACCGGCGUUAGUGUGAUUACGCCCUCGUAACGUAGCGGUUCGGCAAAAGAGACCGAUAGAAUAAGUAGCAGGCUUUAAAAAAAUAAAUGUCCUGGAGUCGAUUCAUUCGACUACAAAUUCAAGGCGGUGGUGCUUCCGGCUAAUGACUGAAACAAGUAAAAGAUAUAUAUAUAUAUAUAUAUGUAUAUAUAUGUAUAUAUAUAUAUGUAUAUAUAUAUAUGUAUAUAUAUAUAUGUAUAUAUAUAUAUAUAUAUGUAUAUAUAUAUGUAUAUAUAUAUAUGUAUAUAUAUAUAUAUAUAUAUAUAUAUAUAUAUAUAUGUAUAUAUAUAUGUAUAUAUAUAUAUAUAUAUAUAUAUAUAUAUAUAUAUAUAUAUAUAUAUGUAUAUACGUAUAUACAUACAUACUUAUAUAUAUAUAUAUAUAUAUAUAUAUAUGUAUAUACGUAUAUACAUACAUACUUACAUAUAUAUAUAUAUAUAUAUAUAUAUAUAUACGUAUAUACAUACAUACUUACAUAUAUAUAUAUAUAUAUAUAUAUAUAUAUAUAUAUGUAUGUAUGUUUGUAUGCAUGUAUACAUUAUACAUAUAUAUAUAUAGCUAGGGAGUUUCUUUUCCUUAGAUAAAAAAAAAAACAACUUAAUUUUAGUACGGUAUCUAUUUCAGCAAUAUUUACAGUCGUGUAUCCCUGUGUGCUGAAUAACAACCAUAUGUGUCCUCUACAAGUUCUUCACUCUCUAAUGCUGAAAAAAGGCAAAUAUUUCGUACAGGACUUAAAAAAUAAACUCUAGCCCUAUUUUUAGAUUCAUAUAUGAAAUGUCAGUGUGUACGUCACUUUAAGACACGAGUUAUAUAUUGGACUUAAAUUUGCAACGAAAGAUGAGCUGGAAUGAACUUUGAGACAGAACCGCUAAUUUACGGGAGUAUAAACAAACCAACAUCGGCUGUCAGGUGGUGGUGGGGCCCAAACACAGAGACACGCGCUUGCGUACAGACACACACACAUACACACACACACACACACUCAUACUCACAUCCGACGGGCUGCCAGAUUCCAUCUACCAAAUCCACUCACAAGGCUUUGGUGUGCCGGAGUCUAUUGUAGAAGAUGCUUGCCCAAGGUCUCACACAACGGGACUCAACCCGGAGCAAGGUUAUUGGGAAGCAAGCUUCUUACCACACAGUCACAGCCACAUAUAAUUCACACACGUAAUGUAUAUACACAAUCGUUAGACUAGUUAUUGCGGUAUUUGUCCUGAUAUAACACCUCUUAUGAAUUUGUAGUGUUAAUAUAUAUAUAUAUAUAUAUAUAUAUAUAUAUAUAUAUAUAUAUAUAUAUAUAUAUAUAUAUAUAUAUAUAUCAGAGAGACGAAAAUUCACCCCAGCACGGGCCAGCGAGAGCGCCAGAUAUAUUUCGGCCUUUCAAUGACGCAUACUCGCAGCCAGCCACAUGUUCGGACGAAAAAUCGUUGUCUCUAAUAUUUAUUGUGUUUUGGACACAGUAAUUCUAUAAGAGAUGCUAUCUCAGGAAAAAUACCGAAGUAACUGGCCUAUCGACAGUGUAUAUACAUUAAGAACCAAAUGUAGAUUUUAUAACGACAAUAUCAGAAGUAAGUGCAAUGAAUGUCUAAGUUUUUGGAGGUUUCAAAGAUAUUCAUUACAUUUGUUGAAAGGUUAUUGUUUUCUAACCUCUUUAAGGUGGCAGUGAAUAAUAUAGUUCCGAGUGCCGCCAGCUGCAGUUUCACUAAUAAAGCUAUUUAAUAGAUAAUCGAAGAAAGCAAUAAUUGAUUCGAAGUGAAAAAUAUAUUUUUGCAUUCCGGAUAUUAUGAGGUUGACAAGAAUCGUUGGUGAUUCAUCGAGUUAUACAGCAGCAGUAGUAGUAGUGAUGAUGGCAUGUAAUAGUAGUAGUAGUAGUAGCAGUAGUAGUAGUUAAUACUGUGAUUAUGGAACAAUGAUAUAAGACUGCCAAAAUUCGUUUGAUAUGACGUAAAUACUGUAGGCGCCAUUUGAUUGGUUAGUUUUGUUAUAUCCGAGAGAUAAAACACGUAGGAUGGGGCAUAAAACUUUUGGGAAAAAAUGAUGUUUAAUAAUAUUUUCCCAGACAUUUUUCUAUUGAUAUCUAUAGAGUCUGACAGAUAGAUGUUUGAUGUUUGAUUUAUAGUUUUCUUUGUGAUUUCAUCUCUCUAGUCGUUGUAAGUAGUCAUACAUAAAACGAGGAGAAUAGUAGGAGAUGGAACCGAUCGAGACAAAGCUUACGUAACAGAAAGCGAAAUCAAGCUAACUUCCUACUAAUCUUCGAACUAAGGCUAAUUGUAUAUGGUCAAAACAAAAUUGGUAUUCCGUCGGUUACGACGAUCAGGGUUCCAGUUGAUCCGUUAAACACAACAGCCUGCUCGUAAAAAUUCACAUGCAGAGAGAUUCAGUGUCGUACAGAAUAUGACAAGGCUGUCCCUUUGAAUUACAAGUACGACUCAUUUUUGCCAGCUGAGUGGCCUGGAGCAACGUGAAAUAACGUGUCUUCCUGAAGGACACAGCGACCUUACAAUUGUGAGCCUAAAGCUCUAAUCACUAAGCCAUGCACCUUCACAAGGUGUGUGUAUGUAUGCAUGUAUGUAUGUAUAUAUAUAUAUUUAUAAAGGGUAAAAAUCAUUAAUGAUUUUUACCAGGUGGUCAACGCGGAAAUAACCUCUUUUCCUCCACGACGUCCUGUGGACUGGACGUCUUCUAUCUCUCGAUUUUUUACGUUUUUAAAGAAAAAAUUUCGCUCAUAGUUCGCUAUUUUCACCUCGUUCAGGUCUAACAACCCUCCAUGUUUGCUUUCGUUCGGUUUCCUUGUAUGUCUCCAUUGUCCUGUUUUUGUUCCCAACUUUGACCCUCCAUAAAUCCAAAAUUUUAUUUUCGUAUUUAUGGGAGCAACUGUGUUCGAAGACUCAUAUUGUCGUUGAAUACUCGAAAUGAGGAGGAGAAAGACAAACGACAACUGAAGAAUGGUGUUACUUGUCCUGUUUUCCAUUUUUUCUCUCGCUGUUUGCGUAUUUAACUCAUUUAUUUCGUACUUCAUAUGUUUUACUGGUGGUGAUAUACUGUGCUGAUAUAUGCAUAUAUAUAAAUAUAUAUAUAUAUAUAUAUAUAUAUAUAUAUAUAUAUAUAUAUCGCAUGUGUGUGUGUUUUCUCAAACGUUUAUAAAAACAGCUUCACUUCGGUGACCGGAAUGAAACGAUUGGACGCCAACGAUUGGCUGACUGGAUGUUCAACGUAGUUUUAUGAUAGUGCGUUUUGGCGUUGGAGGCAAACGCGCAUGCAGAACUAUACACAUACACCGAUAGAGGUGUGUGUGUGUGUGUGUGUGUGUGUGUAUAUAUACAUUAAGGCGGCGAGCUGGCAGAAACGUUAGCACGCCUGGCGAAAUGCGUAACCGUAUUUCAUCUGUCCUUACGUUCCGAGUUCAAAUUCCGCCGAAGUCGACUUUGCCUUUCAUCCUUUCGGGGCCGAUAAAUUAAGUACCAGUUACGCACUGGGGUCGAUGUAAUCGACUUAAUCCGUUUGUCUGUCCUUGUUUGCCUCCUCUGUGUUUAGCCCCUUGUGGAUAGUAAAGAAAUAUAUAUACAUACAGAGGGAGGGGGUAAUUACACAUCAAACAUAACUUGAUGCUCACACUCAUAAACAGGGGUUGAGAAGGUAUAGAGAAACGUUAAAACGUCUAAUGUCCUUUGUUACAAAAGCCUAGUUUAUUUUAUAUUGCAAUAAAUGAAAAGCAACGUUGUUUCUUAAAAGAUUCCAACUUACCAAUCGCUGGCUCAUUGCAUUUGGUUUGGUUUGUUUGUCAAAGGAUUGUCUCACUUCUCAGGUGACUUUGUUUAUAAAGUACCUGUUUUGGAUGCGGUUUCUCAUCGAUAAACAUCACCGUAAUAUUUACGAACACACUUAUGUACAUGCAUACACACUGAUACAUACAUACAUACAUACAUACAUACAUACAUACAAACAUACAUACAUACAUACAUACAUACAUUUACACCUAUUUAUACAUGUAUGCAUACGUGUAUACGUACUUACGUAAUAUUGGAAAAUAUGUAUAUUAAAGUUUCCAUCAGGGCAACCGAACGCAACAGGAACACUCACAGAAUUCUCCUUAGAAGCAAAUAAAACCAGCCAUUAACAACAGGAUGGAAUAAAAGAAUAGACUAUAUAUAUAUAUAUAUGUGUGUGUGUGUGUGUGUGUGUGUGUGUGUGUGUGUGUGUGUGUGUGUGUAAAUGUAAAAAAAUACAAACUGGGACAAGAACGUAAAACAUUUACAAGACGAUACAAAAAACACGGACGGGACAUUCGAAGCCUUCAAUCUUCAGUCAAGAACCGAAUCAUCUUCGCAAUUUCGGCUGAUUAAUCUUGAGAUUGCUCCGAUCUGGCCAGCUCCAAAGGAAAAUCUAAGCCAAGCGCAUUAGAUUCCUUGGAAGAAAGCCUCGAAUGUAUACAAAACAAGGACGGAAAACCGGACGAUGUUACACAAAUAAAAAUACAAAAAUACGUAAAAACAAUAAUGAUAACACGAAUAAGAAUACAAAAAUAUGUAAAAACAAUAAUGAUAAUAAUAAUAACAACAAAAACAGGACGUCACAGACAAGCGUCUUUUCGACAGGACGAGUAAAUUUUUUGAGCUGGCGUUAGAAAAAAGCCUUAGGGCUAGAGACAGAAAAAAAAUGUGUCUUGCCGCAACGGCUGCUGACCACGAAGAGGCUAGCAAUCGGUUGGCUAGUCACGUGUGAGGGGAAGAAGUUUCUCUAUAUGUAUAUGUAUGUGUGUAUAUGUGUAUAUAUGCAUAUAUGUAUAUAUAUCUAUAUAUGUGUGUAUGUGUGUGUGCGUGUAUCUAUAUGUACAUAUAUAUAGCUAUGUGUAGGGCGGCGAGCUGGCAGAAACGUUAGCACGCCGGGCGCAAUGCGUAGCCGUAUUUCGUCUGCCGUUACGUUCUGAGUUCAAAUUCCGCCGAGGUCGACUUUGCCUUUCAUCCUUUCGGGAUCGAUAAAUAAAGUAUCAGUUUCGCACUGGGGUCGAUAUAAUCGACUUAAUCCCUUUGUCUGCUCUUGUUUGUCCCCUCUGUGUUUGGCCCCUUAGUAUUAAUAAAAUAGAUACAUAAAAAAAGUCUCUCUAUAUGUAUGUGUGUAUAUAUGCAUAUAUGUGUAUAUAUCUAUAUAUGUGUGUAUGUGUGUGUGCGUGCAUCUAUAUGUACAUAUAUAUAGCUAUAUAUAUGUCUAUAUAUUCAUCUGUGCGCAUUUGCGUUUUUUGUAGGCGUAUGUAUAUAUUAGUGUGGAUUUGUUUAUACGUGAACGCGGGAGUGUGUUUAUGUGUAUAUAUGCAUACAUAUAUGUAUAUGUGUGUAUGUGUAUGUGUAUAUGUAUAUAUAUGCGUGUAUAUUUUUACUUAUGUGCAUACGCGAGUGCAUUAACACGUGUCACAGACGUCUAUAUCUUGCUUUACGUACGAAUAUAUGCACAUAUUUAUCUCUGCUAUGUACAUAUAUUUGUGUAUAUACACACGCGUAUACAUGCAUAUAUGAGUUCCUAUACAUAUAUAUGUUUGUAUUCGUCCAUGCGUGUGCGUAUGUGCGUGUAUCUAGUUGUAUGUAUAUACCCAUAUACUUGGAUGUGCGUGUGUGAGCGCGUAAGUAUAUGUGCGUAUAUGUGUGUGUGUGUGUGUGUGUGUGUGUGUGUGUGUGUGUGUGUGUGUGCGCGCGUAAGCACGAACACAAAAAGAUUUUCGUCUAAGUAUUAUCCUCCUUUCAACUUCUACACCCUUUUCUUUUCCUUAACAGUUACAACAGCUCAUUACGUCAUUUUCUCUAAACUAGAAUGUAUAAUUUUCACUUCCAUAUUACAAUUUUUUGCGUUUCAACAAUUUUUCUCCGUUUUUUUUAUUCAUUCUCAAAUUUGAUGGACAUAUAGCGGCACGUAAGCCAACUCAGAAAAUCUCUUGUGAGACUUUUAUGUGUGUGUUAUAUAUAUAUAUAUAUAUAUAUAUAAAAGAUAAAAUUACUUGGAAAUGGACGCGUGGUGUUUAGUCAUAUAAUAAUAUAAAUAAUAUAUGGGCGCAGGAGUGGCUGUGUGGUAAGUAGCUUGCUAACCAACCACAUGGUUCCGGGUUCAGUCCCACUGCGUGGCAUCUUGGGCAAGUGUCUUCUGCUAUAGCCCCGGGCCGACCAAUGCCUUGUGAGUGGAUUUGGUAGACGGAAACUGAAAGAAGCCUGUCGUAUAUAUAUAUAUAUAUAUAUAUAUAUAUAUAUAUGUAUGUAUGUGUGUGUAUGUGUUUGUGCGUCUGUGUUUGUUCCCCUAGCAUUGCUUGACAACCGAUGAAUAAGUACUGGGCUUACAAAGAAUAAAAUCCCGGGGUCGAUUUGCUCGACUAAAGGCGGUGCUCCAGCAUGGCCGCAGUCAAAUGACUGAAACAAGUAAAAAGAGUAAAAGAGUAAAGAGUAUAUGUGAAUAUAUACAUACAUACAUACAUACAUAUAUACAUACAUACAUACAUAUACAUACAUACAUACACACACACACACACACACACAUAUAUAUAUAUGCUUAUAUAUAUAUAUAUAUAUAUAUAUAUAUAUAUGCUUAUGGGUACAGGACGUCGCAAAACGUAAGCAUGAAAUACGAAAGCAACAUGUAAUACAAGGACAAUCUUUUGUAUGCGAAUAACGAAAGAAACAAAUGGGAAACAAGACAUAAACAAACAACCCUUCAUCAGUUGUCGGUCUUCCAUCUACUCCUCAUUUCGAGCAGUUAACGGCAAUUGCUCGAAAUGAGGAGUAAAUGAACAGCCGACAAAUGAUGAAGGGUCGUUUUUACUUGUCUUGUUUUCCAUUUGUUUCUCUCGUUGUUCGCAUACAAAAAACUUUGUCUUCGUAUAUCGUAUUGUUUAUGUUUUGUGACGUCCUGUACUCAUAUAUGCGUAUAUACAUAUAUAUAUAUGUAUUUACAUAUAUGUAUAUAUAUAUAUUAUUUAUAUUAUUAUUAUCAUUUUAUAGUACUAGUAAUUAUUCUAUCGGACACUUUUGCCGAACCGCUAAGUCACGGGGACGUAAACUCACCAACAAAGGUUGUCAAGCGAUGAUGAGAGAACAAACACAGACAAACAAAUAUAUAUAUAUAUAUAUAUAUAUAUAUAUAUAUAUAUGUGUGUGUAUAUAUAUAUAAAUAUGUGUGUGUGUGUGUGUGUGUUUACGACGGUCCUCUUUCUGUUUCCAUAUAUAUAUAAUAUAUACAUUGGGUCACCACACAAAUAAUACAGUUAUUUUAUACUUCUUUUAAUUUUCAAAAUUACGAUAAAGUUUUUUUUUGCUCUAAAAUAUACUCUCCAUUUUCUUCAACGCUCUUCCAUUCACCUGAUAGACUUUCAAGGCCCUUCUUCCAAAAUUCACUUGUCCGUGACAAAAGUACUGACCUCGUGUACAGAAUUCAAUUUUUUUCCGUCCAAAUGAUUUGGAAGACUGCGGAAUAUAUGAUAAUCAGAUGGAGCAAAGUCCGACGAAUAUGGUGGGUGUGGCAUCGUUUCCCAUUCAAACUACGCCAAUCGUUGACACUGGCUUACGGUUGUUGUCCGAUCCCCAUAUACUGCAUUAAUAUUCCCCGCACUUUCCUUUCCGUUGUUGCCUUUAUUGAACACAUAAAAGCAAAAUAUGCCGAAUAUGCUUCUUUGUCACUUCCAUUAUAACUUUUCCAAAAUAAGUGUUAAAAUCGAACUAUACACUCUUCAAAACUUGCACUAAGAAUAAGGACAAGGUAAAACUACUACCUGCUUUUAUAGCAAGAUGAUACAGGUAGUUAAUCCCGACCCCACCCGACUUUUAGUUCAUGCAAUUGAAAUAAACGCAUUAUUUAUGGGAUGAUCCAAUAUAUAUGUAUACACACACACACACACACACAUACAUACAUACACACACACACACACACACACACACACACACACACACACAUAUAUAUAUAUAUAUAUAUAUAUACAUAUAUAUAAUAGUCGAUGAGAAUGCAUCGUAGCUCUUAGCUCCGGCAUUUGAAACUCUGAAUCCUAUUAUGACUACUUACUGAUUGUCCUAUAUAUAUAUAUAUAUAUAUAUAUAUAUAUAUAUAUAUAUAUAUAUACAUACAUGCAUAUAUAUAUAUAUAUAUAUAUAUAUAUAUAUAUAUAUUUACGUAGGCGUUUGUUCGACCUGCUAGGAAAAGCAAUUAAAUGUCCGUAAAAUUUUAGAAACAGACAGGACAUUGAAUAAUACAAUCCUGGAUAACGCUUGCUUGAAAACAAGAAACAAUGAUCUCUAUCUUAUUCUAGGUCUGCUUGACUAGAGUCUCAACAUCAACAUGUACCACGAGUGAAUUGAAAAUACCUCAGUCGCGAAUCGAAUCUCAGUUUAUCUGCAACUUAACACCACCCUUCUCUACUGACAUUAAGUAGAUGUAGCAUAAGAUGGUGUUAAGUAGAUAAGGUAUAUCAUAUACUAUAUGGAUAUAUCACCUUAUAACAUAACGAAAACCCCCCUUUUUUUAAAACUAUGCUGUAUCCAUGUAUUAUGAAUUUAGAUUGGUGGAAGAUUUAAAAUAGGUCUUCUUGAAGUUAUAUUUCAUGAACCCAAGGGGACGGAUAUUAUCUUAGAUCAGUUUCAACAAUUCUGAUGGUUUUGUUGUUAGAGUCACUUCUCAACUUAGCAUUAAUUUCAUUCUUGGACAAAAGAGAUAUAAGUUAACGAAGUAAAAACAGUUCAGACUUCAGCUUAAGUCAGUAAACUAUAGCCUAAUGCAUGUUAGUCAUGUUAGGAGAAAGGACGAUGAAAUUUCAAAUCUAACAUAGUAGAUCGUUAUGUGAGAUGUUAUCCAGAUAUUUUAGGUCAACUCUAGAGGGUCUGCCUUUUGAAAGAAGCACCAGAGAUACCAUUAAUAUUAGUAUUUAGACAUGGAACAGAUCAGAUAGCCGAGCUGCUGCUGCUGUUGCCGCUGGAUUUACAUGACAUUCAGUCAAAGAUGCAUGCGUUGUUUGUUUAGGGUGAGAAAAUAAAAGAGUUGGUCGCCGCCAACGAAAGCCGAUAGUUUACAAAUGAUUUAUGAUGGACUGUUCCUAAGGCCUUUGUAGAGUUUUAGCUGAGGAAACGCGCACUCUUGCUCUCUCGCUCUUUCUUUCUCUCUCCUCCACCCUCUCUCUCUCCUCCACCCUCUCUCUCUCCUCCACCCUCUCUCUCUCCUCCACCCUCUCUCUCUCCUCCACCCUCUCUCUCUCCUCCACCCUCUCUCUCUCCUCCACCCUCUCUCUCUCCUCCCUCUCUCUCUCUUCCAUUCUCUUCUUUCUCUCCUCUUUCUCUCUCACUUUCUCGCUCUCUCUCUCUGUCGCUCUCUCUUUCUCUCUUAUGGCAUUGCCUAUCGGACAACAUUCGGGUGCGCGUGAGAGUACUGUAUGUAUGUGCGUGUCUUUCUAAGUAUCUAUAAUAUCAUCACGUUGAUACAGGUGUGUCUGUUUUUAUAUAUAUAUAUAUAUAUAUAUAUAUAUAUAUAUAUAUAUAUAUAUGGAGAUAGAGGGAGGGAUACAUACUUGCGUACAUACAUACAGGCAUACAUACAUACAUACAUACAUACAUACAUACAUACAUACAUACAUACAUACAUACCCUACAAACAAAAUACCCUGUUAUUGAUGUUGAAAUUCCAAUGAAGGUUAGAAACCCGUUCUUUCUCUAUUGGCAAGAAAUCUUGAAAUAAACGGAAUAAUGACAUACAUACAUAUGUAUAUAUAUAUAUAUAUAUAUAUAUAUAUAUAUAUAUAUAUAUAUAUACACACACACACACACACACACACACACACAUACGCACACAAACACACUCGUAAAUACAGUUGCACAUAUAUAUGUGCGCGCGAGUGCUUGUGUGUACGCGCAGGAGUGUAUAUAUGGAAAAGUACUUCUAUUAAAGCUGAAGACUGUUUUCCAUUGAAGAUUUUCCUAUGACCUGUCUAACAUUUUGAAUUCUUUAUGCAUAUUAUUCCCUGAGUUAACGAUUGCAAAUGCCGUCAAAUUCUGCUUCUUCGAUUACUAUCGCAAACAGCAGUAGCUUUCUUCAACCGAAUACACGUCGUUGAUUGGUUGAAAUUACCCAAAUACGACAACUUUAACACGAAAUAACUUCUAAAAUAGGAAAUUUUGUCAAAAACAUUCAGAGUAAACCGAGUUCUAUGUAACAAAUUCUACCAGUAUUCGAAGUUUUAAACUGUUUAGUUUUGAAAAAUUAAUUAAAAAAUCUGGAUUACUCAAUAUUUUCCCGAAGAGUACCUUUUGGUGGUGGUGGGGGGGGGGGGGAUGAUUGACAGCGACUUCGAAGUUUCGGUUUUACGAGCUGUUACCAGAGUCUCUCAAGACAACUGGUAAACCGAGAUUUCAAAGUUAUCAACAAACUUACCCUUGUAGAAAUGAAUAUGUGUGUGUGUGUGUGUGUUUAUAUACAAUCUUGCUGAUAUAUUAAAAUAAUUAAGAAGUAAUGAGAGUCUACAACAAGAUUGUGUUUUCUUUUUAUCUGUUACUACUAAUCUGCCUUGCUGACAAUUUCAACAUAGUUUAAAUAUUUUUUUUUUGUUUUUUCUUGCAGUAAUCCUACCGAUCUUAUCAGGACGGAUUACUUAUCAAUUUCGGAAACAAACACCAUGUUAUAAUCAGGCCACCGAAGCUCUCUCACAGU